CCUGGGGAGGGGCAGCCCUCGGGGAGGUGGAAGCAGGGUCGGUGCACGGCGCUCCUUUGGGAGCCCAGCCUGCUGCCUGACCGGAAAAGACCCCCGAGGACCACCUCCUCCUUCCCUCUGAGAGCAGAAAGGAAAAGGCUGCAGGCCUCCUCACCCCAGGUGUUAGCAGGACACCGGAAUCGAGCAGAGACGGGAGGGAGGGCGAGCGCUGACCCACGUCCCUCCCCAGCCCCCCUCAGGGGUCGCUUCUGGAAGCCCCCUCGGCAGAGCUCUUCGUCUGCCUUCCUUUGUAGGUGGCCGGGCGCCCAGGAUCGCAAGGUAUUUGAGCUAGCUGGUAGGAAAGUAUGAAGUGCAUCCAGGAUUUUGUAGAAAGCAUCUGGCAGCCCUACUUCUGUCUGACAAAGAAAACAGCAGCGCCGGCUGACAGGUGUUCCCUUUACGCUGUGGCUGCCAGGAAACUUGGAGUGAGGUUCAGCGCCCAGUGGUGUCAGCCGGCUGAUCUCAAGCCCUGGUCGGGCUUCAGUCCUCUGGUGUUUAUUCUGGUGUUUAUCCAAUUGUCAGUUUUCAAAUUAUGUUUCCAAGCCAUUUAGCACCUCUGGAGGUCAAAGCACUGUCUGCGAAGAGAAAUACACACGUGGCAAAGCCUCUGCCUAUCAAUCUGGAGGGGGACGCAAACACGCUGGGACCUGCCAGCCAGCCUGAUGGGAGCAGCAGCACCUGGGUGUGUGGACGCUUUCGUGAACACAGGAGGACAGCCCGGGAGGUAUCAGGGCAAAAAAGGCUACCAAAAUAAUAGAGUCAGAAGUGACUAUGGGUUGAAACCGUAACACCCUUACUCCAAGGUUGGAAGAUUUUUGUGGAAAAUGAACAUAUUUUAUUAGAAGACAUGGAGGACUUCCUGGAGCAGGAUGGGCAAACACACCCUAGUGUUUACCUGAUAUUGGAAAGGAAAGUUUUCCUCCUGCCUCUGCAGCCUUGGGUGAAUGUGUAUGUGAAACACAGAUCACCGCUAAUGUGUCCCCAGUUCAGAUUUCUGCAUCUGCAAGUUCAGAAUUAUGGUGAUUUUG